CCAAUAGCGUAUAUUAAAGUUGUUGCAGUUAAAAAGCUCGUAGUUGAAUUUUAGGCCUGGCCGGGCGGUCCGUCUUUGGCGAGUACUGUCCUGUGUCGGGUCCACCUUCUGGUGAACCAGUAUGUCCUUUAUUGGGUGUGCCGGGGAGCCAGGACCAUUACCUUGAAAAAAUUAGAGUGUUUAAAGCAGGCAUUUGCUUGAAUAGAUUAGCAUGGAAUAAUAGAAUAGGACGUUGUGGUUCUAUUUUGUUGGUUUCUAGGACCACCGUAAUGAUUAAUAGGGAUAGUUGGGGGCAUUAGUAUUCAAUUGUCAGAGGUGAAAUUCUUGGAUUUAUUGAAGACUAACUAUUGCGAAAGCAUUUGCCAAGGAUGUUUUCAUUAAUCAAGAACGAAAGUUAGGGGAUCGAAGACGAUCAGAUACCGUCGUAGUCUUAACCAUAAACUAUGCCGACUAGGGAUCGGACGAUGUUAUUUUAUUGACUCGUUCGGCACCUUAUG
rnacentral:rRNA from 1 species